rnacentral:rRNA from 1 species
CGCGAUUGGAUGAACCUAGGUGGGAUUAGCUAGUUGGUGAGGUAAUGGCUCACCUAGGCGACGAUCCCUAGCUGUUCUGAGAGGAUGAUCAGCCACACUGGGACUGAGACACGGCCCAGACUCCUACGGGAGGCAGCAGUGGGGAAUAUUGCACAAUGGGGGAAACCCUGAUGCAGCCAUGCCGCGUGUGUGAAGAAGGCCUUCGGGUUGUAAAGCACUUUCAGUAAGGAGGAAAGGGUGUAGGUUAAUACGCUAUAUCUGUGACGUUACCUACAGAAGAAGGACCGGCUAACUCCGUGCCAGCAGCCGCGGUAAUACGAAGGGUGCGAGCGUUAAUCGGAAUUACUGGGCGUAAAGCGUGCGCAGGCGGUUUGUUAAGCGAGAUGUGAAAGCCCUGGGCUCAACCUAGGAAUAGCAUUUCGAACUGGCGAACUAGAGUCUUGUAGAGGGGGGUAGAAUUCCAGGUGUAGCGGUGAAAUGCGUAGAGAUCUGGAGGAAUACCGGUGGCGAAGGCGGCCCCCUGGACAAAGACUGACGCUCAUGCACGAAAGCGUGGGGAGCAAGCAGGAUUAGAUACCCUGGUAGUCCACGCCGUAAACGAUGUCUACUCGGAAUUUGGUGCCUU